GAGCAGCACUCACUGCUCGCUUCAGCAGCACGGGGAACGGACCGUUUGGGCAGGCCAGACUGUCCGUGACGGAUGAACUGCAAGAAACACACUUCAUUCAUUGGCCGGACUGGGCUGACAUAUGUUACAGCAACAACCCAAAAUUUAAGUAAUAAUAUUCAUGCAAUACCUUCUUCCUUCAUUUAAUUACAGCAGCCACAAGAACAAGAUACCCAUUUUUCACCUUUCCCACUCCCUUCCAAUAGAUGGUAUGCUAAAAAAGUAAGGUCUGAUCCUUCAUUUCUUACACAUCCCGGCCCUGAGAUCUGGUCUUUGAUUAGGACGAAGUAUAGAGUGUUUUGAGCAAUAUAUCAUCUGAAGCUGCAGGUCUCAGCCGUGAGACCACAGCCCCGAAGGAGCCUUCCAUGCCUCCUAAGCGGUGUGCUGCUGGAGAAGUGGUAAGAACGAACCUGGGCAGGUAGGGUGGCUGGAGAGGCUCUCCUGAGGGGGAGGAUCGUGGCUGCAAGCCCAAUUUGCAGUGGCCUCCUCCUCGGCAUAGCUUGUUCUAGUGUUGCUGCAAAGUCCUACUGACCCCGUGAGAGAGCAGCCGCUGGUCCCACUCCGCUGCCUGAGCAUGCAAGACACUGGUGAGACGCGCGAGAGGUGCUGGGGCCGGAGCAGCAGCAGCUCCGGCUGAGUGAGCACAGGGACUGCGUCCCUCUGCUUGGCCACGCUGGGCCCGGGAGUCCAAAGUGGUCCCCCAGGGCAUGCCGGGUCCCUGCCUCAGCCACAGGCCCCCAGCCACUCUGCCCUGGGGCACUCCUCCAUCCUGCGUUCUGGGGUUUUGGAGCGCAGAAACAAGAUGGGAGACAACCAUAUGCUAAAGGAGAUGGGAGCACCUUCAGCUCCUGAAGUUUGGGGGUUGCUAACCUAGGGGAAAAGGUUGGAGUUGAUUCAAGAUACAGUAUGCAGCUGUACAAAAAUGCAUAGUUUGUUUGUAUACAUUCAAUUUCAAAGAUCAAAGGAAAAUUUUUUGCUAUGUAGUUUAAUCACCAUCUGCUUUCAACAAAAAUGCGACCUGACAAAGCUACGGGAGACCAGCUGAGCAUGCAGCUCCGGAGUUAAUGGUAGCUGAAUGGCAUUUCCCAAACAAAGAAUUAACUUCUUUUUCUUCUUGCUUUUUGAGAUAAAGUAGUUUUUCACUUGAAGAUUAUUGUUUCUGUAAUAAUGUUUAAUAGAAUUUGGGAUUUUGGGAGAUUCCAAUUCAACCAUGGUCAUCUGAGUAUUGGUGUACCCUGAUCCGAGGUUUAUUAACAAGUAUAAGCCCUGUAAGACAAAGAAACAAACCAACAGAAAUCUAGUUUUAACUAUGGUAUGUGAGCUAGAUUAAAAUGCAAUUCUUUUAAAAUGCUGAAAUCCUAGUUCAGUAGUGAGUAGUGCUUUUUUACUUUUUUGGCAAUAGCUGAGCUAGUAUUUAGAAAAUUCUACAAGUUUGCUCACUUUUGCUUUUAUUUCAGUUAACACUUUGGAACUAGCUGCUUCCCAUGAGGAAUGUCUAUUGUCCUGAGCAUCCCUGAACGUGCAACAGUAAUGUACCAGGCAGGAUGGGCCUAAAGACAAUUAGAAAACCUUGGUUUAAAAGAACUUUUUAAAUCUU